rnacentral:rRNA from 1 species
AUACGGAGGAUCCGAGCGUUAUCCGGAUUUAUUGGGUUUAAAGGGUGCGCAGGCGGCCAUUUAAGUCAGCGGUUAAAUCGUGGGGCUCAACCCCAUUCUGCCGUUGAUACUGGGUGGCUUGAUUGCGGUCGAGGUUGGCGGAAUUCGUUGUGGAGCGGUGAAAUGCAUAGAUAUGACGAAGAACACCGAUUGCGUAGGCAGCUGACCAGACCGCAAAUGACGCUCAUGCACGAAAGUGCGGGGAUCGAACAGGAUUAGAUACCCUGGUAGUCCGCACAGUAAACGAUGAAUACUUGUUUUCGGCGAUAUAAUGUCGGAGGCAAAGCGAAAGCGAUAAGUAUUCCACCUGGGGAGUACGCCGGCAACGGUGAAACUCAAAUGAAUUGGCGGGG